GCCAUGUGGAGUGCACAGAAGACGAAAACAACUCAGGCACGUGUGCAGCUUGACUGUAUCUAUAGAGGGAGAAGGAAGAUUCUACCUACAGACUAAAGGACCUGAGCCCUAGGACCAUGCCUCAGGACUACCUGGCCUGAUGACUCCUUGCUGUCCCCAGUCCACCUGGCCGUGCUGCUGCUCCAGUUUCAACUGUUCUGCCUGCGGCUAUGGAACCCUGACCUGUUUACUGGACGUGCUGCCUGUCCCAGACCUGCUGUUUUCAACUCUCUAGAGACAGCAGGAGCGGUAGAGAUACUCUGAAUGAUCAGCUAUGAAAAGCCAACUGACAUUUACUCCCGAGGUGCUGACCUGUUGCACCCUUGACAACCA
ensembl:lncRNA